GUGGGAUGGGAGACCCCUCCCCAACCCCACCAGCCCCAGCCCAGCUGUGGCCCCCGCCGUGUCACUCAGAAAACCAGCGUCAAAGCCCAGCCCUGCCUGGGAUGUGGACCUUGCCUGGGGAGAGUCCCGUUCAGGCUUUUCCAGGGCCUCUCCCCUGAGCAACAGGGGUGUCUGCGCUGGGCCUGGGCACUCACCAGGGCCUGCAGGCUGCCAGUCUGGAGUUUCCCUAGCAUCAAAUGUGCCACCGGAAGCUGAAGGUGGGGAUGACCAGUGCCCCCCGGAGCGAAGACCCCCCCAUCUCUCCAGGAUUGGGGGUCUGCUUAGGGGUCCACUUAGGGGUGUAUCCCUCAGGCAUUGGAAGUGCAGAUGGGAGGCCCUGAGCCAUGGUGGCUCAUUUGUCUUCGUUAAUGACUUAUAUGUAUGUAUAUAUAUAUAUAUAUAUAAUCUUUCAGAAGCAAAAAGUGAUCAAGGUCUCUCUGAAUAAGAUUAUGACACAAAGCUGGAGAGUUGAUAUACCCAUGAGCUCUUUCUCUACAGGAGAUAAGGGUCUCACUCAGGGCAAUCUUAGCAGAUUUGAGGCUCAGUAUCAGCUUCUGAAGCCAGGAGACAUAAUCCCUGAGCUCAUCGUUUUCUUUCAUCACUUUGUCUAUUGAACUCAGGAGCAACCAACCAGCUUCAUUAUGUUCCUUGGUUCUCCACAUAUGGUCAAAGUUUUUGAGACAGCAUAUUGCUCUAGCGCCCAGGCUGGAGUGCAGUCAUGUCAUCUCAGCUGUUUGUAACUUCCACCUCCUGGGCUCAAGCGAUCCUCUUGCCUCAGCCUCCCAAGUAGCUGGGACUACAAGCAUGUGCCACCUCACCCAGCUAAUUUUGAAACCUGGAGAAACCUCAACUGGAACGUCAAGUAAGCAGAUUCCAGCUCUCUGGGCCCAGGGUGAGAAAAGGAAGUUGUAUGAAAAGAGGAGAAAGGAAAAAAACAGUCUCAUAUUGUGCAACAGGUGAAGUCCCACAUUGCCCCACUUCGAGGAUUCCAUUCUGCCGUUUGUAAUUCCUGCUCUUGCUUCAAAUGUUCUGAUCUUCUCCAAGACCCUCGCCCCCAGCUGUAAUGUUCCGUGUUGCCUGAUAGCAGAUGUGUUAGUACCUCUCCUGGCCUUUCCUAGUUGGUGCAGUUUCAUCUUCAUGCAUCAAGGACCUCACUUUAAGGGAAGCAGUAUGUGUUUCAUGUUCUCUGGAUUCACGCAGACUUCGUUAUCUAUGACAUUUUUGUUCAACCCAAUGUACUAACCAUCUGCUCUUUGUCAGGGCAGACAGAGCUGAAUGAAGCCCCAUCCCUGCCUUUGAAGAGUUCCAUGUCUAGUGAUGGCAUUGACAGUGACAGAAAUAACUAUCCCAAGAGGUGGAAUAAGCUAAGUGUCAUGUCAAAGGAAGAAACAAAGUGUCAGGAAGCCUGAAGGAUGGAGAAGGCUGUCUAUCAGCUGUAGAUGAGUAGUUUCAAGUUAAGUCUCAAUCCCCACUAGAGCAGCUGUCUGAAUGAGCAGGGUGGAGGGGUUAGGAGGAAGCCUGUUCUGGGGCUUCAGGAGAAUAAUGAUUGAUAAAAUGGGUGAUUAGCCAUCACUGAGCCAUACAAUGAGUUUGUCUGUUGACUUUUGUUUCCUCGCCUUGAUCUGAUCUUUGGCUCAUGGGGGUAAAACGUUUUGAUGGAUCUUCAUGAAGAUCCUAACAACAAUACUAUGUCUGCACCAGUGGAAGUCCACACUGAGAGUAAAAAGGACUUGUAUCAUUUUGUUCAGCAAUAUUAACUUACCCCCCACCCCCAACAAGAUUUAGACACUGGUGCCAUUUAGAACUCCUGGAGGGCAAAUGUGGAGACUGGAAAGCCAAGAAGAGCCAAUAAACAAAUGAUUCUCAAAUACAUGACAAAAAAGAUGUUCAUCUUCUCUAGAGAAACUUCCCUGAUCUCUUUCCCAAGUAAACUCUGUAUCCUUCACUGUGCUCCUACAGUCUCCUGAACUACUUCCUUCUUACCACCUAUCACAUAUUUAUCUAUUCAUGUGGUUUCCUCCCCGACUAGAAAGUGAGCUCCUUGAUGCAGAAACUAUGUUAUGCUUAUCUCCAUGGAGGGGAUGUGAUGAGUAACAUGGACUCAAGAUGUGGACCCCUAUAUAGCCAAAUGAGUAAACCAAGUACGAAUGAACUGGGUGUUCUGACAUUCCACCUAAAAGGUGAUUCCUCAGCCCUGAUAGUGUGGUACUUCCCCUUCUCCC